rnacentral:rRNA from 1 species
UCGAGAAUCAUUCACAAUGGGCGCAAGCCUGAUGGUGCGACGCCGCGUGGGGGAUGAAGGGCUUCGGUCUGUAAACCCCUGUCAUCUGUGAGUAAGGUCUCGUAUAAAAGCUACGAGAAUUGAUAUUAACAGAAGAGGAAGGGACGGCUAACUCUGUGCCAGCAGCCGCGGUAAUACAGAGGUCCCAAGCGUUGUUCGGAUUUACUGGGCGUAAAGAGUGCGUAGGCGGUCAGAAAAGUUUGGUGUGAAAUCUUCGGGCUUAACCCGGAAACUGCACUGAAAACUAUUUGACUAGAGGAUCGGAGAGGAGAUUGGAAUUCUCAGUGUAGCAGUGAAAUGCGUAGAUAUUGAGAGGAACACCAGUUGCGAAGGCGGAUCUCUGGACGAUUCCUGACGCUGAGGCACGAAAGCUGGGGGAGCGAAGAGG